GGAGAGUGGCGAAAGGGUGAGUAACGCGUGAGUAAUCUGCCUCUAAGUUCGGGAUAACCCCGCGAAAGUGGAGCUAAUACCGGAUGUGGUAUCCUGUCGCAUGGCAGGGUUACUAAAGGUGGGGAUCCUUCGGGACCUGCCGCUUGGAGAGGAGCUCGCGUCCCAUCAGCUUGUUGGUAGGGUAACGGCCUACCAAGGCAUACGGGUAGCCGGCCUGAGAGGGUGAUCGGCCACACUGGGACUGAGACACUGCCCAGACUCCUACGGGAGGCUGCAGUCGAGGAUCAUUCGCAAUGCGCGAAAGCGUGACGAUGCGACGCUGCGUGGAGGAUGACGGCCUUAGGGUUGUAAACUCCUGUCAUGAGGGAACAGCCGGCAAAGGGUUAAUACCCCUUCGCUCCGAUGGUACCUCAAGAGGAAGCCACGGCUAACUCUGUGCCAGCAGCCGCGGUAAUACAGAGGUGGCGAGCGUUGUUCGGAUUUACUGGGCGUAAAGGGUGCGUAGGUGGUUCUGUGUGUCGGAUGUGAAAGCCCGGGGCUCAACUCCGGAAUUGCAUUCGAAACUGCAGGACUAGAGUACAGGAUGGGAGAGCGGAAUUCUUGGUGUAGCGGUGAAAUGCGUUGAUAUCAAGAAGAACACCGGUGGCGAAGGCGGCUCUCUGGAAUGUUACUGACACUGAGGCACGAAAGCUGGGGGGGCAAACAGGAUUAGAUACCCUGGUAGUCCCAGCCGUAAACGGUGUGCACUUGGUGUUGGCGGUAUUGACCCCGCCAGUGCCGGAGCUAACGCGUUAAGUGCACCGCCUGGGGAGUACGGCCGCAAGGUUAAAACUCAAAGAAAUUGACGGGGGCCCGCACAAGCGGAGGAGCAUGUGGCUUAAUUCGAUGCAACGCGAAGAACCUUACCUGGGUUUGACAUCGGAGAGGCUUGCCUCUAGCGCGUGAAAGCGCGUUAACCUGACAGGUGCUGCAUGGCUGUCGUCAGUUCGUGCCGUGAGGUGUUGGGUUAAGUCCCGCAACGAAAGUAAUCCUCGUGUUUAGUUGCCACCCUCGAGCAAUAGGGGGGCACUUUAAACAGACUGCCCGUACAAGCGGGAGGAAGUUGG
rnacentral:rRNA from 1 species